GCCCAGCGCCGAGAAGAGCAAAGCUCAUUUUGAAAACAGGCAAGCCGCACCGUCAGGAUCGCCCAGAAUCGCCGCCGCCCACGACCGCUGCACCGCCAGGAUCACCCGCCGCCAGGAUCGCCCACCUUCCACGCCCGCUGCCAGGAUCGCCCGCCACCCACGACAGGAUCGCCGCCGUUAGGAUCGCCCGCCGCGUACGGUCGUCGCCUCCGAGUUUCACCCGCUCACCGCGCCGCCUCCGAGUUUCGCCCGCUCACCGCGCCCGCCGUCGCAUCAGCUCGUUGCCAUCAUCACCUUCACGCCAUUGUUGGAGGCGCAUCUGUUCACCUCCUCCACCGAGCGAUGGAUCUUGUGGCACUUGGAUCGCACUGAUUGAAGCUGUAUUUGAUCACUAUUGAGUAUUGACAGAUGUGCCUAACGAUAUCCCUGCCGGUGUUGCCGCGGACGAGGAGACUGAGGCUAAACCGCACUACAGGGGUUUAUGGAGUACAACAUCUGGUAAUUACUUGACUGCCAAUUGCUCGAUAGAAUGCCCCUAACGAUCGGCCAGGGGGUAUCCUCCAUUACGAAAACGGUAAAACAUGAUGCGGAAGUUCCUGGCAGUCAAAACAAUUGAUUGUGUUCAAUACUAAACUGUGAAUUGCUCUGAGCUUCCACGAAUCAAGAUGCCGGAUGUACAAAAGGUAUCGCAUGCUCAACCUUAAUAAAAGAACAUGAAAAUAUAUUCCCUAAAGGUUGUGUUUUUAUUUACAGCCAUAUCAUCGGUUUUAAGUAAAAAGGUUAGCAUGUUUCUUCUACCAUCUCUGAAAAAAGGAAGUGUCUGGCAGAAUUUGGUAUUGCUGCAUAACAUAUACAUAGCUUCCGUCAGGACAUUGGAAAGGGAAGUGCCUUGAUGAUUUAGUAUUGUCACACAAUGACAAUGAUAAGUACCUAACUAAUAACUUGUUGAAGAUAAAUAGUUGGAUUAACCAUUAGUGCGUUUUCUUCGUCUCGUGGUUUAUAAGAACAUCCCACUGUCUUGCCCAUUACUUGCAAAUCUCUUUUAGCUUAAGAACGGUCUGGCGUGGUGUAUCCUUACAAGUUGGAAACUUUGGUCAUAUCUUUCUAUUCAAAUACUUAACUGAAUCUUUGACCUUUGAGGUGUCAGAUUGGACUGGUAUUUUUAGGGCACGCGUUUGACAAAGAUUGUUUUUUGCGCUUCAUCAGUACUAUUAUAUUGGAGUUGGUCGUUUGACACUCAAAAUGUUUGAUGGUCGUCAUUGGAAGCAUCCAGACCAUCCAAUUUAAUCUUACAGCCUCCGAUCACUUCUCAAGGUAAAUCGCCCCUCCACCUUUCCUUAUUACCGCUAAUCAUGUUAUUAAAUCCGAAUCAAUACAAAUUUCUACUUACCUAAACAAAGUUGAUUUCCAUCGCGCGCUCAUCCAAUUGGUUACACGCAAAUAUAUUCUAGAUGGCGUUCUUGAUAAGGGCAUUUUGCUUGUAGUCAGAUCCAUUUUUAGCUAUACAAGUUCAUGCGCAAUCCUAAUUUUUAUGUUUUGGAUUGUUUUGUUGGUCAGAAUAGGGAAUAUGUUGCAUGAUUUUUUGGGUAUUUCGAAGUGAGUUUUUGGUGCAUGAUUCCAAUCAGAUGGAUUUAUUUAUCCAAGUUCUUCCCCUUCUCCACUCCCGUCUGCUUUUAUUUUUCCAAGCCAAACACGGCAGAUGAUAACAAAUAAAAUGUUGGCUAUUUUUCGUGACUUUUUUUUUUUGCUGAUGAAAUGGACACCCCGAAUAUUGAGUAAGCUUGUGGAUGGAUUUCUAGAGGAUCUUGGUCCAAUUAACUAAUAAGUAACUGCAGCUAUGUGCUAUAACAGGUGUGCGCACUACCGAGCCGAUGCAUGUGAGCCUGUUGGAGUGAUAUUUUUGAUUGCCUGCACUUUCCCGAGGAAGCAAAUGUAAAAUUUCAGGGUUGUCAUUGUUAAAGAAAUUUGAUGUUUUCUUUAGACAAUAUAUAUUGUUUGUGGAUUGAACUCCCAAUUAUUAGUUUGGCAGACCCAUGUCUAAUUUAACUGCUAUUUCGUUCAAAAUUUUGAUCUUACCAAGUGUGGAAGGUCUAGGCAAACUAAAGUAUAUAUGAGAAUGGGUAGAAUGAGAUAUGUAUCCUUUAAAAAAGUUACUUCCUUUGUUCACUAAUAUCAGACGAUGCAGCGAUUGUAUGGACAUAGGAUAUGUAUCUUUGAUUCUUACCAGUUAUAAAAUUUCAUUCAAUUGGAGUAAACUAUAGCAGAUGUAUAAGUAUAGUUGAUAAUGCUUGUGCUGCUGGUAAUUUUUUUAUUCCUUGCUGAAAUCAUCUCUGGUUGA